GUCCGGCGACACAGUCACUCUCCUGCCACCAGACGAUGAUCCAGGGGAAGGGGCUUCUGCAGCAUGGGAAGGGGCUGCUGCAGCUGAUGAUGAGGAGACUGUGUCACUGGACUCCAGAAGGCCUGAGGAUCCAGACGCAGUACAGUCUGACAGCCAGCCUGGCAACAUAGUAAGUAUGGGCUAAUGGAAAUCUAAA